rnacentral:piRNA from 1 species
UGAAGCUAGUUCUGCUAACACUGA